rnacentral:rRNA from 1 species
UACGAGGGGGCAAAUGUUGUUCGGAAUCACUGGGCGUAAAGGGAGCGUAGGCGGGUUCUUAAGUAAGGUGUUUAAUCCCGGGGCCCAACCCCGGACCGGGCACUUUAAACUGGGAAUCUUGAAUAGUGGAGAGGUCGGUGGAAUUGGAGGUGUAGCGGUGGAAUGCGUAGAGAUCUCCAAGAACACCAGUUGCGAAGGCGGCCGACUGGACACAUAUUGACGCUGAGGCUC